GAUGAACGCUGGCGGCGUGCUUAACACAUGCAAGUCGAACGGUGAAGCUCAGCUUGCUGGGUGGAUCAGUGGCGAACGGGUGAGUAACACGUGAGCAACCUGCCCCUGACUCUGGGAUAAGCGCUGGAAACGGUGUCUAAUACUGGAUAUGUACCACGAUCGCAUGGUCUGUGGUUGGAAAGAUUUUUCGGUUGGGGAAGGGCUCGCGGCCUAUCAGCUUGUUGGUGAGGUAAUGGCUCACCAAGGCGUCGACGGGUAGCCGGCCUGAGAGGGUGACCGGCCACACUGGGACUGAGACACGGCCCAGACUCCUACGGGAGGCAGCAGUGGGGAAUAUUGCACAAUGGGCGCAAGCCUGAUGCAGCAACGCCGCGUGAGGGAUGACGGCCUUCGGGUUGUAAACCUCUUUUAGUAGGGAAGAAGCGACUGAAUUUAUUCUGAGUGACGGUACCUGCAGAAAAAGCACCGGCUAACUACGUGCCAGCAGCCGCCGUAAGAC
rnacentral:rRNA from 1 species